rnacentral:siRNA from 1 species
AAGUUGUUAGGUUGCAUUGUGAC